rnacentral:rRNA from 1 species
GUAGCAGGGUAGCAAUAUCGCUGACGACCGGCGCACGGGUGAGUAACGCGUAUGCAACCUUCCUUUAACUGGGGGAUAGCCCGGAGAAAUUCGGAUUAAUACCCCAUAACAUCAUAGAGGGGCAUCUUUUUAUGAUUAAAGCUCCGGCGGUUAAAGAUGGGCAUGCGUGCCAUUAGCUUGUUGGUGAGGUAACAGCUCACCAAGGCUACGAUGGCUAGGGGGUCUGAGAGGAUGAUCCCCCACACUGGUACUGAGACACGGACCAGACUCCUACGGGAGGCAGCAGUGAGGAAUAUUGGGCAAUGGGCGCAAGCCUGACCCAGCCAUGCCGCGUGAAGGAUGAAUGCCCUAUGGGUUGUAAACUUCUUUUGUACGGGACGAAACUUCCGGUCGUGACCGGGAUUGACUGUACCGUGCGAAUAAGCAUCGGCUAACUCCGUGCCAGCAGCCGCGGUAAUACGGAGGAUGCGAGCGUUAUCCGGAUUCAUUGGGUUUAAAGGGUGCGUAGGCGGAAUAAUAAGUCAGUGGUGAAAGCCUGCGGCUUAACCGUAGAACUGCCAUUGAUACUGCUAUUCUUGAGUAUAGUUGAAGUGGGCGGAAUGUGUAAUGUAGCGGUGAAAUGCUUAGAUAUUACACAGAACACCAAUUGCGAAGGCAGCUCACUAAGCUGUUACUGACGCUGAGGCACGAAAGCGUGGGGAGCAAACAGAAUUAGAUACCCUGGUAGUCCACGCUGUAAACGAUGAUCACUCGUUGUUGGCGAUACACCGUCAGCGACUGAGCGAAAGCAAUAAGUGAUCC